UUUUACUACUAGGGGUGUCCGGGAGUCCGGGCUGAGAAUGAAACACGCGUACGUUUCUAAACCCUUGGGACCUGAUCUGGAUCAUACCAGCGUAGGAAAGUAGUUUGCAUGCGUA
rnacentral:ncRNA from 2 species